rnacentral:rRNA from 1 species
UACGGGGGGGGGCAAGCGUUGUUCGGAAUUACUGGGCGUAAAGGCUCGUAGGCGGCCAACUAAGUCGGACGUGAAAAUCCCCAGGCUCAACCUGGGAACUGCGUCCGAUACUGGAUGGCUUGAAUCCGGGAGAGGGAUGCAGAAUUCCAGGUGUAGCGGUGAAAUGCGUAGAUAUCUGGAGGAAUACCGGUGGCGAAGGCGGCAUCCUGGACCGGCAUUGACGCUGAGGAGCGAAAGCCAGGGGAGCAAACGGG